rnacentral:rRNA from 1 species
GACGAACGCUGGCGGCGUGCCUAAUACAUGCAAGUAGAACGCUGAAGAGAGGAGCUUGCUCUUCUUGGAUGAGUUGCGAACGGGUGAGUAACGCGUAGGUAACCUGCCUUGUAGCGGGGGAUAACUAUUGGAAACGAUAGCUAAUACCGCAUAACAAUGGAUGACACAUGUCAUUUAUUUGAAAGGGGCAAUUGUUCCACUACAAGAUGGACCUGCGUUGUAUUAGCUAGUAGGUGAGGUAAUGGCUCACCUAGGCGACGAUACAUAGCCGACCUGAGAGGGUGAUCGGCCACACUGGGACUGAGACACGGCCCAGACUCCUACGGGAGGCAGCAGUAGGGAAUCUUCGGCAAUGGGGGCAACCCUGACCGAGCAACGCCGCGUGAGUGAAGAAGGUUUUCGGAUCGUAAAGCUCUGUUGUAAGUCAAGAACGGGUGUGAGAGUGGAAAGUUCACACUGUGACGGUAGCUGACCAGAAAGGGACGGCUAACUACGUG